rnacentral:rRNA from 1 species
GAUGAACGCUGGCGGCGUGCUUAACACAUGCAAGUCGAACGGACUGAGGGAGCUUGCUCCCAAAGUUAGUGGCGGACGGGUGAGUAACGCGUGGGUAACCUGCCCUAUGCAGGGGGAUAACGUUUGGAAACGAACGCUAAUACCGCAUAAUCUAGUUGGUUCGCAUGAACUGAUUAGCAAAGAUUUUAUCGGCAUAGGAUGGACCCGCGUUAGAUUAGCUAGUUGGUGAGAUAACAGCCCACCAAGGCGACGAUCUAUAGCCGGCCUGAGAGGGUGAACGGCCACACUGGGACUGAGACACGGCCCAGACUCCUACGGGAGGCAGCAGUGGGGAAUAUUGCACAAUGGGCGCAAGCCUGAUGCAGCGACGCCGCGUGAAGGAUGAAGGUCUUCGGAUCGUAAACUUCUAUCAGCAGGGAAGAAUACCAUGACGGUACCUGACUAAGAAGCCCCGGCUAACUACGUGCCAGCAGCCGCCGUAAUAC